CCUACGGGGGGCAGCAGUGAGGAAUAUUGGUCAAUGGACGAGAGUCUGAACCAGCCAAGUAGCGUGCAGGAUGACGGCCCUACGGGUUGUAAACUGCUUUUAUACGGGAAUAACGCGCCUUACGUGUAGGGCUUUGCAUGUACCGUAUGAAUAAGGACCGGCUAAUCCCGCGCCAGCAGCCGCGGUAAUACGGAAGGUCCGGGCGUUAUCCGGAUUUAGUGGGUUUAAAGGGAGCGUAGACCGCAUGUCAAGCGUGAUGUGAAAUGUCAGGGCUCAACCCGGGCCUUGCAGGGCGAACUGGCGUGCUUGAGUCCGCGGAAGGCAGGCGGAAUU
rnacentral:rRNA from 1 species